rnacentral:misc_RNA from 1 species
UCCUGGUUAACCCAGGCAGUCUCAUUAGAGUUCCCACCAUUACGUGUUGGCAACUAAUGAUAAGGGUUGCGCUCGUUGCUGGACUUAACCAAACACCUCACGGCACGAGCUGACGACAGCCAUGCAGCACCUGUACAAAUGUCCCGAAGGAACUAUUCAUUUCUGAAUCAAUCAUAAGUAUGUCAAGUCUGGGUAAGGUUCUUCGCGUUGCAUCGAAUUAAACCACAUGCUCCACUGCUUGUGCGGGUCCCCGUCAAUUCUUUUGAGUUUCACCCUUGCGAGCGUACUCCUCAGGCGGUAUACUUAUCGCGUUAGCUUCGACACAACUAGGGUUGAUUCCAGUUACAUCAAGUAUACAUAGUUUACAGUAAGGACUAC